AAGGAGAGGCGCCAGGAGCUCAGAGUGAAGUGCGUUUUAAGGGCACGUGGAAGCACCCAGGACUGCCAAGAGGCCGUGGCGAUGGCGCAGCCUGGGACUGCCAGGCGCGCGGGACAGAAAGCGGCCGAAGUCAGGCUUCCCGAAACAGGCUGGUAGGGGGCUUACAGCUUUCCAGCCAAGCCUACGCGAAGCAACAAUCAGGAGAGUUGCAGUUUUAUAAAGAAACCGAGCGUCUC
rnacentral:lncRNA from 1 species